CCCUACCGGCAGGGCUCUUAGCAGUGCUCUAGUGAUGAGAGGGAGCUCAGCACUGAGGGCACUGCAAGCAGCAUACUCAAACAAUGGGGAAUAAUGCGGCAUCCUCAUAAUGUUAUGUUAUGUUAUGUUCUUAUACUGCACACAGCUGCCACCCAUGGGCAGUCUCCAUGUGCUCACGUGGCUCUUCAAGAAAGAGGAGAGGGUAGGUAAAUGAGGGUGUAGGGCUAGGAUAGGUCCAUAACCAGGAGAAACUGGCAUCUGUGUGUGUGUUGGGUUGCAGAUGGGUUAAUUGCUUGCACUGGCUUGAUGUAUCCAUAAGGAUGAAGCCCAAUGUCUGGGUUGUUUGUUGUAUGUGAAUGUCUGUUAUGUUAGGAGUGUAUUUGUGUGUUUUAUGUGUAAAUUGUCUGUUAUUUAAGGUUGUGGUUGACCGGACUUACUUGUGUGUCUGUAAGGCUGAGGCCCAAUGCCUGGGUUGUUUGUUGUAUGUGAAUGUCUGUUAUGUUGGGUGUGUGUUUGUGUGUUUUAUGUUUAAAUUGGCUGGUAUUUAAGGUUAUGGUUGUGCGCACUGGCCUGUUGUAUCUAUAGGGGUAUGGUACAGUGCCUGGAAUUGCUGUUGUAUGCAGGUGUUAGUUGUGUUGGGUGUGUAUUUGUACGUAGUUUAGCUAGCCCAUGGGUGUGUAUAGUACAAUGGAGGUGUGUAGGAGGGGAGCAGGAGCAGGGUGGUUAUUACAUUUGGUGCUCUCAAAGUUUUUCUAGGUGGCUAAUCUUCACAAAUGUCACACAUGGCUAAUCUUCACAAAUCUUUAUAAAUGUUAUGUACGGCUAAUCUUCACAAAUCUAUCUAAAUGUGAUGCAUGUCUAAUCUUCACAAUUCUAUCUAAAUCGGAUGCAUGGCUAAUCUUAACAAAUCUAUCUAAAUGUGAUGCAUGGCUAAUCUUCAUAAAUCUCUCAAAUCUAUCUAAAUCUGAUGCAUGGCUAAUCUUCACAAAUCUAUCUAAAUGUGAUGCAUGGCUAAUCUACACAAUUCCAUCUAGAUUUGAGGCAAGGCUAAUCUUCACAGAUCUUUCCAAAUGAGACACAUUGCUAAUGAUCCCAAUUUGUCCAUUGUAACACAUUUCCUGCCCCUAAAAUACAUUUGGGCACAACACAUUUAGUUUCCUCAAAAUACAUCCUUCAUGAGAUCCUGGGUGCCGACAUGGGCCUGAGAGCCGCAGGGGCUAAGCCGCCCGCUGCGGUGCGCACGGAAGCCCGGGGCGAGGGCCCUGGUGGAACUGCUGCAGGUGCAGAUUGUGGUGGUAGUAGCAAAUAUUCAAAGGAGAACUUUGAAGGCCGAAGUGGAGAAGGGUUCCAUGUGAACAGCAGUUGAACAUGGGUCAGUCGGUCCUAAGAGAGGGCGAGCACCGUUCGGAAGGGACGGACGAUGGCCUCCGUUGCCCUCAGCCAAUCGAAUGGGAGUUGGGUUCAGAUCCCUGAAACCGGAGUGGCAGAGACGGGUGUCCUCAUGGCAUCCAGUGCGGUAACGCAAACGAUCCCAGACAAGCCAGUUGGAGCCCCGAAGAGAGUUCUCUUUUCUUUGUGAAGGGCAGGGCACCCUGGAAUGGAUUUGCCCCGAGAGAGGGGCCUGAGCCUUAGAAAGCAUUGUGGUUCCGGUGGCGUCUGGCAAGCUCUCGCUGGUCCUUGAAAAUCUGGGGGAGAUGGUGUAAAUCUUGCUCCGGGCCGUACCCAUAUCCGCAGCAGGUCUUCAAGGUGAACAGCUUCUGGCAUGUUGGAACAAUGUAGGUAAGGGAAGUCGGCAAGUCAGAUCCAUAACUUUGGGAUAACGAUUGGCUCUAAGGGCUGGGUCGGUCAGGCUGGGGCACGAAGAGGGGCUGGGAACGUGCCGCGGCUGGACGAGGCACCUCCCCCCUGGGGGCAGCACCGACUCUGGAUUCGAGCCGGGCCCUUCCUGUGGAUUGCCCAAACUGCGGUGGUUGCCUCUCUCCGUUCCCCUCCUGGGGUUUUGGGCGAGCGUUUUGCCACAGCCGACACCUAGCAGCUGACGUAGAACUGGUGCGGACCAGGUGAAUAUGACUGUUUAAUUAAAACAAAGCAUUGCGCAGGCCCGCAGUGGGUGUUGACGCGAUGCGAUUUCUGCCCAGUGCUCUGAAUGUCAAAGUAAAAAAAUUCAAUGAAUAGCGGGUAAACGGUGGGAGUAACUAUGACUCUCUUAACGUAGCCAAAUGCCUCGUCAUCUAAUUAGUGACGCUCAUGAAUUGAUGAACGAGAUUCCCACUGUCCCUACCUACUUUCUAGACAAACCACAUGCAAGGGAAUGGUCUUGUAAGAAUCCGCUGGUGAAGAAGGCCAUGUUGAGCUUGACUCUAGUCUGGAACUGUGAAGAGACAUGAGAGGUGUAGGAUAAGUGGGAGGCCCUCAGGCUGCCAGUGAAAUACUACUACUCUUAUUGUUUUUUCACUUACCCGGUGAGGCGGGGGUGCUUCUGGCUCCAAGUGCCCAUCGGCUGCAGGCACGACCCGCUCCUGGGACAGUUCCAGGUGGGGAGUUUGACUGGGGCGGUACACCUUUCAAGCGAUAACGCAGGUGUUCUAAGGCGAGCUCAGGGAGGACAGAAACCUACCACGCAGCAGAAGAGAAAAAGCUUGCUUGAUCUCGAUUUUCAGUAUGAAUACAUACAGGGCCUCACAAUCCUUCUGACUUUUUGGGUUUCAAGCAGGAGGUGUUAGAAAAGUUAUCACAGGGAUAACUGGCUUGUGGCAGCCAAGCAUUCACAGCGACAUCGCUUUUUGAUCCUUAGAUGUCAGCUCUUCCUAUCAUUGUGAAGCAGAAUUCACCAAGCGUUGGAUUGUUCACCCAUCAAUAGGGAACGUGAGCUUGGUUUAGACCAUCGUGAGACAGGUUAGUUUUAACCUACUGAUGAUGUGUUGUUGCAAUAGUAAUCCUGCUCAGUACGAGAGGAACCACAGGUUCAGACAUUUGGUUUAUGUGCUUGGCUGAUGAGCCAAUGGGGCGAAGCUACCAUCCAUCUGUGGGAUUAUGACUGAACGCCUCUAAGUCAGAAUCCCCCUAAACCGUAACGAUACUGAAGCGCUGUGGAGCCUCAGUUUGCCUAGGAUAGUCGGCAUCUGGGCUGGUGUGUAGAGCCGCUCACCUCGGGACACAAGAAUGGACAGAAGGGGGCCACCUCUCUCACCUGUAGUGCACCACAUUU
rnacentral:rRNA from 1 species